AUUAACUGACCAGUACCAAAUAGGACGAAACGCGCGUCUUGGAU
rnacentral:hammerhead_ribozyme from 1 species